rnacentral:rRNA from 1 species
UACAGAGGGUGCGAGCGUUGUCCGGAAUCACUGGGCGUAAAGGGCGCGUAGGCGGCCUGAUAAGUAGGGGGUGAAAUCUUGCGGCUCAACCGCAAGGCUGCCUUCUAAACUGUCAGGCUGGAGCACGGUAGAGGCAGAUGGAAUUCCCGGUGUAGCGGUGGAAUGCGUAGAGAUCGGGAAGAACACCAGUGGCGAAGGCGGUCUGCUGGGCCGUUGCUGACGCUGAGGUGCGAAAGCGUGGGGAGCAAACAGG